UACGUAGGGUGCAAGCGUUAAUCGGAAUUACUGGGCGUAAAGCGUGCGCAGGCGGCUUUGCAAGACAGAUGUGAAAUCCCCGGGCUUAACCUGGGAACUGCAUUUGUGACUGCAUGGCUGGAGUGCGGCAGAGGGGGAUGGAAUUCCGCGUGUAGCAGUGAAAUGCGUAGAUAUGCGGAGGAACACCGAUGGUGAAGGCAAUCCCCUGGGCCUGCACUGACGCUCAUGCACGAAAGCGUGGGGAGCAAACAGG
rnacentral:rRNA from 1 species